UUGUGAUUUUGGGUAUUCCAAGUCGUCAGUUCUGCAUUCACAACCAAAAUCAACCGUGGGAACUCCUGCAUACAUUGCUCCUGAAGUUUUACUGAAGAAGGAGUAUGAUGGCAAGAUUGCUGAUGUCUGGUCUUGUGGAGUGACAUUAUAUGUAAUGCUAGUGGGUGCAUAUCCCUUCGAGGAUCCAGAGGAGCCCAAAAACUUCCGGAAAACCAUACAG
rnacentral:misc_RNA from 1 species